rnacentral:rRNA from 1 species
GACGAACGCUGGCGGCGUGCUUAACACAUGCAAGUCGAACGGAAAGGCCCUGCUUUUGUGGGGUGCUCGAGUGGCGAACGGGUGAGUAAAACGUGAGUAACCUGCCCUUGACUUAGGGAUAACAUCAGGAAACUGGGGCUAAUACCGGAUAGGAGCUCCUGCUGCAUGGUGGGGGUUGGAAAGUUUCGGCGGUUGGGGAUGGACUCGCGGCUUAUCAGCUUGUUGGUGGGGUAGUGGCUUACCAAGGCUUUGACGGGUAGCCGGCCUGAGAGGGUGACCGGGCACAUUGGGACUGAGAUACGGCCCAGACUGCUACGGGAGGCAGCAGGGGGGAAUAUUGCGCAAUGGGCGGAAGCCUGAUGCAGCAACGCCGCGUGCGGGAUGACGGCCUUCGGGUUGUAAACCACUUUCUCCGGUGACGAAGCGUGAGUGACGGUAAUGGGUAAAGAAGCACCGGCUAACUACGUG